rnacentral:rRNA from 1 species
AUACGAAGGGGGCUAGCGUUGUUCGGAUUUACUGGGCGUAAAGCGCACGUAGGCGGAUUGAUUAGUUAGGGGUGAAAUCCCGAGGCUCAACCUCGGAACUGCCGCUAAAACUGUCAAUCUCGAGACCGGAAGAGGUGAGUGGAACUCCUAGUGUAGAGGUGGAAUUCGUAGAUAUUAGGAAGAACACCAGUGGCGAAGGCGGCUCACUGGUCCGGUACUGACGCUGAGGUGCGAAAGCGUGGGGAGCGAACAGGAUUAGAAACCCUAGUAGUCC